rnacentral:rRNA from 1 species
AGACGAGGAGCUUGCUCCUCUGACGUUAGCGGCGGACGGGUGAGUAACACGUGGAUAACCUACCUAUAAGACUGGGAUAACUUCGGGAAACCGGAGCUAAUACCGGAUAAUAUAUUGAACCGCAUGGUUCAAUAGUGAAAGACGGUUUUGCUGUCACUUAUAGAUGGAUCCGCGCCGCAUUAGCUAGUUGGUAAGGUAACGGCUUACCAAGGCAACGAUGCGUAGCCGACCUGAGAGGGUGAUCGGCCACACUGGAACUGAGACACGGUCCAGACUCCUACGGGAGGCAGCAGUAGGGAAUCUUCCGCAAUGGGCGAAAGCCUGACGGAGCAACGCCGCGUGAGUGAUGAAGGUCUUCGGAUCGUAAAACUCUGUUAUUAGGGAAGAACAAAUGUGUAAGUAACUAUGCACGUCUUGACGGUACCUAAUCAGAAAGCCACGGCUAACUACGUGCCAGCAGCCGCGGUAAUACGUAGGUGGCAAGCGUUAUCCGGAAUUAUUGGGCGUAAAGCGCGCGUAGGCGGUUUUUUAAGUCUGAUGUGAAAGCCCACGGCUCAACCGUGGAGGGUCAUUGGAAACUGGAAAACUUGAGUGCAGAAGAGGAAAGUGGAAUUCCAUGUGUAGCGGUGAAAUGCGCAGAGAUAUGGAGGAACACCAGUGGCGAAGGCGACUUUCUGGUCUGUAACUGACGCUGAUGUGCGAAAGCGUGGGGAUCAAACA